UGUUCUUAUUUCCAAUAAAAUCCAUUGUGGUCGGUUUUUUUCUUAGGUUGUAUUUCUUGCUGCUAUGGAGAUUAUGGCUGAACAAUUUCCUGGAGCCUUUUCAGGUUAUUCUUUACAAAAGAGAAUGGACGUAAGAAUGCUCUACUCAAUUUUUCAAGGAUGAUUUGACACUCAAUUCGACAUGUCCCAUUCUAUGCAUCUCAAGUGUCAAAUAUCCAAGUUGGCCAAAGUCAGCCCUUACAAAUUCAACCAUCAUGUUAAAUGGAUUUUCAUUGGAAGACAUGUUGCAUUAUCCUGGAAUUUGGAUUAUUAUUUUUUAAAUUGUUGUACUUUUAUACAUCAAUUGGAUAUUGUAUUUAAACAAUUUGCUUUGAAUA